CUGUGUACUUCCGGGGUCAAGUGUUCGACUGAGACAGUGACCGGUGUGCUGUUGGGGCAUACGUGUCUUUCGGCGUCCUAUUGUGGUGAGACGCCCGUAGCCGCCUGGGUUUACUCCCUCGCUCCUCUCAUGUGCCUGUGUAUCUGCUUAAAAGUUGCUGAGGAUCGGUGGUGGUGCUGGUGGUCUGGGUGGCGGUAUCCCCUCCUUCCGUGUGCGGUGCUCCUCUGGGAUUGGUUUUCUUUGCACAACCCUGUGUGAGUGUGUCACGUGUGACUGGGUGCUUUUUGAGUUGUUUUGGGUGGAUCCCUCCCCCCUUCACUAGCCCAUUGUCCACCUGGUAAGCCUCAGCACCUGAUUAGGUUUCCCUCUUCCCCUUCUUGUGUGUGGUAUUUUAAACGGAUGUCAACUUGUUAAUAAAAUCUAUUAAUUUUUU